UUUUGAAAAUCGGUUCGAACCGGUCGGUUGAACCAAUCGAACUGUGAACCGUUAACAAAUACGGUUCGAACAAAACUUAUAACCGGAAGAUUGAGAAAUCGGAGUUGGACCUUUGAACCAGCCGAGAACAGGUUGGU